GAUGAACGCUAGCGGCAGGCCUAACACAUGCAAGUCGAGGGGCAGCACAGAAACAGCAAUGUUUUGGUGGCGACCGGCGGACGGGUGCGUAACGCGUAUGCAACCUACCUUUAACAGGGGGAUAACGGAGAGAAAUUUCCCCUAAUACCCCAUAACAUCGAUCAAGGCAUUUUGAUUGGUUGAAAACUCCGGUGGUUACAGAUGGGCAUGAGUUGUAUUAGGUAGUUGGUGAGGUAAUGGCUCACCAAGCCUACGAUACAUAGGGGGACUGAGAGGUUAGCCCCCCACACUGGUACUGAGACACGGACCAGACUCCAACGGGAGGCAGCAGUGAGGAAUACUGGUCAAUGGGGGCAACCCUGAACCAGCCAUGCCGCGUGCAGGAAGACGGCUCUAUGAGUUGUAAACUGCUUUUAAACAGGGAUAAAGCACAGUAUGUAUACUGUGUUGAAGGUACUGUAAGAAUAAGGAUCGGCUAACUCCGUGCCAGCCGCCGCCGUAA
rnacentral:rRNA from 1 species